rnacentral:rRNA from 1 species
GACGAACGUUGGCGGCGUGCUUAAUACAUGCAAGUCAACUGAAGCAGUGGUAGCAAUAUCGCUGUGGAGGUGGCGCACGGGUGAGUAACACGUAGGUAAUCUGCCUUCAGGUCUGGCAUAACUCCGGGAAACCGGGGCUAAUAGCAGAUGAUGCAGCGGCUCGACAUCGAGACAGUUGUUAAAGCUAUGGCGCCUGAAGAUGAGCCUGCGUCUGAUUAGCUAGUUGGCGGGGUAACGGCCCACCAAGGCAACGAUCAGUAGCUGGUCUGAGAGGAUGAUCAGCCACACUGGAACUGAGACACGGUCCAGACUCCUACGGGAGGCAGCAGUAAGGAAUAUUGCUCAAUGGGAGAAAUCCUGAAGCAGCAACGCCGCGGGAGGGACGAAGGGCCUUUGCUUGUAAACCUCUGUAGUGAGAGAAAAAAAUCCCAAUCUUUGGGACAUGAUGGUAUCUCAAAAGUAAGCCCCGGCUAACUACGUG